GGCCGCGAGAAUUAUAGUAUUCAAAAGGUGUAGAGUAAACCAUAAUAUCAUCCCCUCCGUGAAUUAACAGCGAUGAGUUCAGAGCUGAUCUCUGCUCUCCUUGCUUAAAAACAUAUAAUAUAGCGGUUGCUGCGGCAGGUAGGCUCUGCGUGACCUCGCCGGUUUAACCUUCGCGGGCAGCGCCCGCCGGAGGAUAACCAAACUCUGAUUUAGCGACGUUUCUUCUGAGUGGUACAAGCAAAUAAUCAAAACUUUUAACAACGGAUCUCUUGGUUCUGGCAUCGAUGAAGAACGCAGCGAAAUGCGAUAAGUAAUGUGAAUUGCAGAAUUCAGUGAAUCAUCGAAUCUUUGAACGCACAUUCCCCCAGCAUUCUGGCGGGCAUGCCUGUUCGAGCGUCAUUUCAACCCUCAACUCUGCUUGGUGUUGGGGCCCUACAGCUGAUGUAGGCCCUCAAAGGCUAGUGGCGGACCUGCCCGGAGCCUCCUUUGCGUAGUAACUUUACGUCUCGCACUGGGAUUCGGAGGGACUCUUGGCCGUAAAACCCCCAUAUUUCUCCAAAGGUUGACCUCGGAUCAGGUCGAAGCCCGCGAGUGAG
rnacentral:rRNA from 1 species